rnacentral:rRNA from 1 species
GAUGAACGCUGACAGCAUGCUUAACACAUGCCAGUCAACUUGAAUUUGGGUUUUUAACUUAGGUUUGGGUGGCGGACGGGUGAGUAACGCGUAAAGAACUUGCCUCACAGCUAGGGACAACAUUUGGAAACGAAUGCUAAUACCUAAUAUUAUGAUAAUAGGGCAUCCUAUAAUUAUGAAAGCUAUAAGCGCUGUGAGAGAGCUUUGCGUCCCAUUAGCUAGUUGGAGAGGUAACGGCUCGCCAAGGCGAUGAUGGGUAGCCGGCCUGAGAGGGUGAUCGGCCACAAGGGGACUGAGACACGGCCCUUACUCCUACGGGAGGCAGCAGUGGGGAAUAUUGGACAAUGGACCAAGAGUCUGAUCCAGCAAUUCUGUGUGCACGAUGAAGUUUUUCGGAAUGUAAAGGGCUUUCAGUUGGGAAGAAAGAAAUGACGGUACCAACAGAAGAAGUGACGGCUAAAUACGUG